rnacentral:lncRNA from 1 species
GAAUAUUUACGGUUUGAUAAGAAUUAUCCAUAAAGUCAUAAAAAAAAUUACUAAACCACCCGCUUUUAUUAAGUGCACAAAUUACAUGACGAUAGGAAAGAAACAUGCAAGUACAGAAAAGGAAAGACAAACAUUCAGACAUGUUACAUUAGGAAAGGAAACAUGCUUCCAAUUCAAUGUUACAUUAAAGAGAAAGAAAACAAACGUUAGAAAUGAAAGCCUUAUUCAUAUUGAGGAGNN